ensembl:lncRNA
UCAUGGUCACGGAGGGUUAUGCCUAGGUUCUCUUAAGAAUUCUGUAGUUUUAGUUCUGACAUUUGGAUAUUACACAAGGCAUUUAUUAAUGGGGGUAUUUUAUAGAAUUAGGAGAGUUUGAAGAAAUGGCCUAUGGCUUGGGCUUCCAGGAACAACCCUCCAGACCACAUUAUAGAACUGUGCUGCCAAAGAGCUGCUGUCUUAACCGUGAGCAGGAAGCUGCACCCCUGCAGCUCUGGGGCCUCCCGCACCUCUACCGUGGUCUACUACCCCUUUUCCUGUGAAGCUCAGAGCGUCAGUCUCCUCGUUGAUAAACUGGGAGUGCUGUCUAUCUCCAGGCUGUGUUUAGUACAUUUCCAACCGGUGUGGCACAGGCACAGACCAGUGGUUGUGGAUGAGGAUUGUAAAUCACUUGUUGGGACCGACUCGUGCCAACCAGCUGAAUAUCAGCCCUCUUGACAGUAUUGCAAGAAUUAAAUGAGCUUGGCACGGCAAUGGUGUGUGGCAAAGGUUCUCCUGAUGGUCCUGGGUGCAUAGAUCUUGCUACUUUGACUGACAUUACUCAAGGUACCAGUGGUCAGACUGAGGUCGGAAUUCUUGGAACACCCUCAAGACCUUAGUGGAUGCUCUCACAGACAUAGAACAGAAACUGGGGAUGAUGGGGCAAGAGGCUGGCAUCGUGGUCUAGCACUCUACAUCUGGACUGUCCACCUGAGUGCAAUGCCUGCACACACAAAAGGGGGCAGAGUGGCUUUGAGUGGUGAGUCAAGGAAGAGGCUGCUCUGUUUCUCAGCUGUUACUCUAGUGAAACAGGUGGACACAUUUGAGCCUGAGAGGUAAGAGGAGAAUAAUUUGGAGCAUUGGAUUUUGGGGUCCCUUCUGCAUGAUCUUCUGCUUCCCUGUUAGCUCAGUUGGUAAAGAGUCCGCCUGCAAUGUGGGAGACCUGGGUUCGAUCCCUGGUUAGGAAGAUCCCCUGAAGAAGGGAAAGGCUACCCACUCCAGUAUUCUGGCCUGGAGAAUUCCAUGGACUGUAGUCCAUGGGGUCGCAAAGAGUUGGGACACACUGAGUGACUUUCACUUUCACUUUCUGCAUGAUAAUGAUGGUCACUCAAGCUGUCCAAGGGAGAGAUGUGGACAGGAAUAAACACAGCAGAGGCUGCAGUCCAGAACCUUGAAAGCUUAAUGAGGACAGUUAGUGAAGCAAUACCUUGUGAUUAAUCACUUCAAAACAUCACCUAAAUCAAGUGGGAUCAUAGUGGACAAUGACCAUUUAAUUUAUCUAUCAAGGGAUGUUUGAAGCUCUGAAUAGUGUACUGUCAGGAGAACUUGACUUCUAAAUCCAGGCAGAUGAAGGCCCAUUAGCUCCCCAGAGUAGAGAACUUAAGAUCUGAGCCAACUCUGCAGACCUGUUGCACCUGAAUAGAUGAGAAAAGACAUGUAUCACGGGAACAGAGUCACUGAAGGUGGCUUGUUUGUUUUGCUUCUUUUUAUUUUUUAAACAUCUUACUUGAGGUCCUAAAAAAGUGACAUUAAGAAAGGCAGUAACUGAAUACAGGUUAUUAGAGGGAGUAUUGCUAUCAUGUUUUGUGAGCAUGCUGGACAUGUUAUGUAAGCUGCAAGUUAUAAAAGCUGUGUGCGAAGAGAAGACUUUAAUAUUUUAAUCAGAAAAAAUUGAGGCUUACAAUUGAAUGUACCUGAUGCAUAUUUAAUGAACAACGUAAUCAAGGGAUAUUGGAGCUGUAAAGGACCUGGCCAGUUCAGCCUCCUCAAUUGCACAGAUGAGGAAUAUGCAGAGAUGACUUGAAAGUCCUGAGCUUACACAGUCAUGAGGAGUGUAACAGGGAUUACCACUGGCCACUCCAUUCUGUCCAGGCCCAUCCACUUCAUCGUUAACUGUGCUGAAGGAGCAUUCGCUGUAAAACAGACACCUCAUGUUUCUGUGCUGCCGCUGAGCAGACUUCAGGGAGGCAGCUGGGAGAGGAAGAGUCAGACUGAGCCAGGGUUUCUCAGGAGAUCCUGAAAGGCUAUGGGUUUGGAACCUCCCUCUCUGAGAAAGUAUGUCUAGGCUUCAGGUACCUGCCUGCUCACCCUUUGCUUCUACCUGCCCACCCAGGUGGCAGCUGAACUUGGAGACAGUCUGGCUUAAGGGAGCGAAGGGAUGGUUGCACUGCUGACCCUAAGGGGGAGGGAGAGAGAAUAAGGAAAGAGAAGAGACCAUUCUGUCAGAAACACUGGGCAUGCUUAGAUGGAUUCCUCUGGCACUCCCAGAGGUCAGUUCACGCUGUGUGGAUUUAUCCAUUUAAGUAGUAGUGCCCUUAAAGAUGCUCAGGGAAGAAGGGUAGAAUAGAAAAAUAGCAAAUGAAAUCUGAAGCUUUUAAAUGUUGUGGUGGUUUUCCCUCUUUCUGAGGAAUAGAAAUACUGUGAGCUGCAAAACAGUGAAGCGAGUGGGACUGUGGGAAUGGCCCCACGUGAUCCUGCCGCUUCUUUCAGCAGUUCUUCAUGCAGUUUGCUGGGUUCGGGUGGUCAUGAUGAAACUGCCUGUACACUGUGCCUGCAGCAGAUGGAGGGGUAAAGAAGCGUGAAUGGCAGGGCACCUGUGUGAGACGCAGGGCUUUGGAUGUAGUUGUACUGGCCCGAGGGGCCACAGGUUGUUCUAGAGGAGCGGAGAGUCACUGCCAAAUGACGUGAGGUGUAGGAAGGGGUGUCCGUGGGAUUAGUAAGAAAAUAAGUCAUUAGGACGGGACUAAACUCCGCCCAGAGGGAGUGCUAUUUCCAGCUUUAGCGCUCCGCUCCUCCAGGAAGCCUUCUAGGAUAGCACCCUUUCCCCACAGACCCCUGAAGACUGAAUGGACCAGGUCCCUCAGUGGUUUCUUCUCAGCCUGUCUCCGGAUCCUGGUUUUGCCCAGGGGUGAAGGGAGGCCAGGGAAGUGCAAUAGCUUCAGGAGGAGGGGGUCCUGAAAGCCUCAGGAGUGACUGCUGCCUGGCCUGGGACCUGGGUGUGAGUUCCCAGGUGGAGGGGACUAGACCCCACCAGCUCCAGGGUUAGGAGCAGAGAGCAGAGCACCCACAUAAUUCCACCUGGAAUUAUGAUAGAGACAAUCCACGUUCUGCCUGGGUUUCCUCUGCUGGGAGAUGAGUUAUUUUUCUCUCCUGAAGUCCCACAAAGGGUAUACUCCGCUUGAGAGUCCUUGAAUCAUUGUGAGGGUCCAAGGUUCAGUUCCUCACUCUGCAUGAUCCAAAUUGGUCUCUGGUUCUUUGUUGAUAGAAGCAUUGACCUUCAGGAGAAACCAAGCUUGUUUAGUCUUGUUUUUUGGUUUGUUUUUGGUUUUAUUUUUCAUUUACUGUCUACAGACCUGGUUUUAGCUCACUGCUCCUAUUUUGCCCAUUGAACCCAUAUUUUCAUUUGAGCUCAGCAAUACUUAGUUUUUCCAAGUUUUACUGUGAUAUAAUUGUCGUAUAAUAUUGUAUAAGUUUAAGGUGCAGAAUAUAAUUUGAUAUAUGUAUAUACUGUGAAAUGAUUGCCAUGCUAAGUUUAAAUAACAUCCAUCACCUUACAUAGUUACAGAGAUUUUUUUCCUUGUGAUGAAA